rnacentral:rRNA from 1 species
GACGAACGCUGGCGGCGUGCUUAACACAUGCAAGUCGAACGGAAAGGCCCUGCUUUUGUGGGGUGCUCGAGUGGCGAACGGGUGAGUAACACGUGAGUAACCUGCCCUUGACUUUGGGAUAACUUCAGGAAACUGGGGCUAAUACCGGAUAGGAGCUCCUGCUGCAUGGUGGGGGGUGGAAAGUUCCGGCGGUUGGGGAUGGACUCGCGGCUUAUCAGCUUGUUGGUGGGGUAGUGUCUUACCAAGGCUUUGACGGGUAGCCGGCCUGGGAGGGUGACCGGCCACAUUGGGACUGAGGUACGGACCAGAGUCCUACGGGAGGCAGCAGUGGGGAAUCUUGCACAAUGGGGCGAAGCCUGAUGCAGAAACGCCGCGUGCGGGAUGACGGCCUUCGGGUUGUAAACCGCUUUCGCCUGUGACGAAGCGUGAGUGACGGUACUGGGUAAAGAAGCACCGGCUAACUACGUG